rnacentral:rRNA from 1 species
UACGAAGGGGGCUAGCGUUGUUCGGAAUUACUGGGCGUAAAGCGCACGUAGGCGGAUAUUUAAGUCAGGGUGAAAUCCAGAGCUCAACUCUGGAACUGCCUUUGAUACUGGGUAUCUCGAGUAUGGAAGAGGUGAGUGGAAUUCCGAGUGUAGAGGUGAAAUUCGUAGAUAUUCGCAAGAACACCAGUGGCGAAGGCGGCUCACUGGCCCGAUACUGACGCUGAGGCACGAAAGCGUGGGGAGCAAACAGG